rnacentral:lncRNA from 1 species
GCUGAAGCAAAUCUCACAAUUAAAAGUGCUUAUAACACCUUGAGGACAUCUUACAAUUGGUAACAAGCCUUGGUACUAGUAAAACAUGCAUAAUUCUCAUUUAGUAUAAACAUUUUGAUGUAUUUGAUGUAUGCUUGUUGCUUGACAUGAAGAGGUUUAGUGAAAAUAUGCAAAAUAACAGUUUCUGCAAAAUUUAAUCUGUUAUAUAAAUCUUCUAAUCUAUUAGGUU